AGCGAACGCUGGCGGCAGGCCUAACACAUGCAAGUCGAACGGACCCUUCGGGGUUAGUGGCGGACGGGUGAGUAACACGUGGGAACGUGCCUUUAGGUUCGGAAUAGCUCCUGGAAACGGGUGGUAAUGCCGAAUGUGCCCUUCGGGGGAAAGAUUUAUCGCCUUUAGAGCGGCCCGCGUCUGAUUAGCUAGUUGGUGCGGUAAUGGCUAACCAAGGCGACGAUCAGUAGCUGGUCUGAGAGGAUGACCAGCCACAUUGGGACUGAGACACGGCCCAAACUCCUACGGGAGGCGGCAGUGGGGAAUCUUGCGCAAUGGGCGAAAGCCUGACGCAGCCAUGCCGCGUGGAUGAUGAAGGUCUUAGGAUUGUAAAAUCCUUUCACCGGUGAAGAUAAUGACUGUAGCCGGAGAAGAAGCCCCGGCUAACUUCGUGCCAGCCGCCGCGGUAACAC
rnacentral:rRNA from 1 species